UGGGGAAUAUUGCACAAUGGGGGAAACCCUGAUGCAGCGACGCCGCGUGAGCGAAGAAGGCUUUCGAGUCGUAAAGCUCUGUCCUAUGAGAAGAUAAUGACGGUAUCAUAGGAGGAAGCCCUGGCUAAAUACGUGCCAGCAGCCGCGGUAAUACGUAUGGGGCGAGCGUUGUCCGGAAUUAUUGGGCGUAAAGGGUACGUAGGUGGUUUUUUAAGUCAGGUGUCAAAGCGUGGAGCUUAACUCCAUUAAGCACUUGAAACUGAAAGACUUGAGUGAAGGAGAGGAAAGUGGAAUUCCUAGUGUAGCGGUGAAAUGCGUAGAUAUUAGGAGGAAUACCGGUGGCGAAGGCGACUUUCUGGACUUUUACUGACGCUCAGGUACGAAAGCGUGGGGUGCAAACAGG
rnacentral:rRNA from 1 species